rnacentral:pre_miRNA from 1 species
AUAUUACUCCCUCCGUCCCAAAAUUCUUGUCUUAAAUUUGUCUAGAUACGGAUGUAUCUAACACUAAAACGUAACUAGAUACAUCCGUAUUUAGACAAAUCUAAGACAAGAAUUUUGGGACGGAGGGAGUAUAUA